AGCGGUAGUUCAGUUGGUUAGAAUACCGGCCUGUCACGCCGGGGGUCGCGGGUUCGAGUCCCGUCCGCUG
rnacentral:tRNA from 8 species